UAAUACGGAGGGUGCAAGCGUUGUCCGGAUUUAUUGGGUUUAAAGGGUGCGUAGGCGGCUGAUUAAGUCAGUGGUGAAAGGCAGCAGCUCAACUGUUAGCACGGCCAUUGAUACUGGUUAGCUUGAGUACAGUCGAGGUAGGCGGAAUUGAAGGUGUAGCGGUGAAAUGCAUAGAUAUCUUCAAGAACACCUAUUGCGAAGGCAGCUUACUAGGCUGUAACUGACGCUGAUGCACGAAAGCGUGGGGAUCGAACAGGAUUAGAUACCCUGGUAGUCCACGCCGUAAACGAUGAUCACUCGCUGUUGGCGAUAUACAGUCAGCGGCUAAGCGAAAGCAAUAAGUGAUCCACCUGGGGAGUACGCUCGCAAGAGUGAAACUCAAAUGAAUUGACGG
rnacentral:rRNA from 1 species